UGAGAUGUGGCUCAGUGGCGGAGGGCCUGCCUAGCACGCAGGGGCUCUGGGUUCAAACCCCAGUACUGCAA
rnacentral:tRNA from 1 species